UUAUACCAGCACUUUGAGGAUGAAGAAGGGAGGGACAGAGGAGCAAAUAAAGGAGUGACACAGCAAAAGGAGGGGAAAAAAGAGGAAGUUGUAAAAUGACAACAAACAUCAAGGAGCCCCACUUGACCACCGGGGUGAGAGGAUGGAGACUGUGGGUCACAGAAAGCCAGAGCAGGGGCAGCGUGCCAGAGGCUGGAGAUGGUAGCAGGAAUGCUAAUGGAGCCAUAACCACCACUAAUACCUUUAACAGCAUCCUGGCAGAGCUCCUCAAGCCAGGCCUCUUAAUCUCAGUUCUGGAAGCUGGCUUAUUUCCUUGACCCACCACCCUUCCUCUUUGUCGUCACUUGAGUAGCUGAUGUGCGGUAAGCCCACUGAUACACACUGGCUGAUCAACAGAAUAAUUUAUUCAUGUAGGCGGAGAUUUAGGUGCUUCCUUUGCACAUGUAAAGUUUUUGGGAUAUUAAGAAAAUCACUAUACAAAUUAAGUGAUUUUCCCCAUGCAUCCAUCCUUUUUGAUGUGACACCUAGCCAAAGUCAGUCAUGCCCUCAUUUUCAUAUGCUGCUCUGAGGUUAAAUGAGCCAUCUGCUUUGUCUCCUAAAUUACCCAAGUCAAUGUACAAUAAACAAACUCAGAACAUGCAGAUUGUAAGAAUUUCACUUCCAAAGUGAUCUAGACAAUUUGUCUUAAUCAGUUGGUGCAAACAAUCAAAUGUGAGAUGGUGCAGUAGUUACAAUGGCAUCUGUUUGGUUUCUUGCAUUUAAUGGAAUUGCUAGUACUCAAGCAUCUUUUUCAGCAUUCACGAAUAUUGUAAAUGCCUAAGUUUUUUUUUUUGCAUUUUAUUUUUAGAUAUUCACCACAAAUAUGCAUGCACACUUAAUUUGUUAGUGCAAACACAAAACCAUAGCUUUCAAUAAAUCAAAAAUUGAACAGAUGCAGGUGCAAUUAUUCAUCUUAAUGUUCUCUUGGACAAACUAUGCAAAAUAUCUGCUGACAUGAUUGAGAUGCUGCACUUCACAAACCAAUCUAGAAAGCGAAAUAGAACUAUGUGUAAAUACAAGUUGGUAUUUGUCAAGCCCAGACAUCCAGGCCAUCCAAGGUCAUGAGGUAAGUUGAUGGUGAAAAUAUUGUCACUAUGUGUCGUUCAACUGAAUAUCUAUCUAUCUAUCUAUCUAUCUAUCUAUCUAUCUAUCUAUCUAUCUAUCUAUCUAUCUAUCUAUCUAUCUAUCUAUCUAUCUAUCUAUCUAUCUAUCUAU